rnacentral:rRNA from 1 species
AUGCAAGUCGUACGAGAGUUUUUACUCUAGUGGCGGACGGGUGAGUAACACGUGAGAAUUUACCUUUAGGAGGGGGAUAACAGCGUAUCAAUAGAUAUUACGGAAACGGCUGCUAAUACCCCAUAUGCUUUUGAGUGAAAUAGAUUUAUCUGCCUAAAGAGAAGCUUGCGUCUGAUUAGCUUGUUGGUAAGGUAAUGGCUUACCAAGGCGACGAUCAGUAUCUGGUUUGAGAGGACGAUCAGACACACUGGAACUGAGACACGGUCCAGACUCCUACGGGAGGCAGCAGUGGGGAAUUUUCCGCAAUGGGCGAAAGCCUGACGGAGCAAUACCGCGUGAGGGAUGAAUGCCUAUGGGUUGUAAACCUCUUUUUUCAGGGAGGAAUCAAUGACGUUACCUGAAGAAUAAGCAUCGGCUAACUCCGUGCCAGCAGCCGCGGUAAUACG